rnacentral:rRNA from 1 species
AUGCAAAUGCUUGGCUUUGUUCCUUCUAAGUCUGACACCUCAUUGUUCAUUUACAAUAAGUAUAAUACACACAUAUUUGUACUUAUAUAUGUUGAUGAUAUAAUUGUCACCAGUUCAUCAGAUGAGGCCAUUACAGGACUUUUGAAGGAUCUUAGUACAGAGUUUGCUCUCAAGGAUCUUGGAGACUUACAUUAUUUCCUAGGGAUUGAGGUGAAGAAGCAUGAGGAUGGACUUCAUCUAUCCCAGGAGAAAUAUGCAGCAGAUCUGGUAAAGAAGGCUGGUCUCCUAGGCUGUAAACCCUCACCCACUCCUUUGUCAAGUUCAGAAAAAUUAUCUCUUACCGAGGAACAGCUUUUGAGUCAAGAUGAUAGUACAAGGUACCGAAGUCUAGUAGGUGCUCUCCAAUACUUGACACUUACCAGGCCUGAUAUCUCUUUUGCUGUUAACAAAGUUUGCCAAUUUCUUCAUGCACCCACUACAGUUCAUUUGACUGCUGCCAAAUGCAUUGUUAGAUAUGUCAAGAACACUCUUAAUGUUGGUCUGAAUUUCUGCAAGUCAUCAUCUACACUUAUAAGUGCCUUCUCAGACUCUGAUUGGGCAGGAUGUUUGGAUGAUAGGAGAUCCACUGGUGGAUUGGCAGUAUUUUUGUCCUAA